GCCGCUGUGGUGGAAUUGGCAUACACGCAGGUCUUAGGAACCUGUCCGCAAGGGUGGAGGUUCAAGCCCUCUCGGCGGCACCA
rnacentral:tRNA from 1 species